UACGUAGGUGGCAAGCGUUAUCCGGAUUUAUUGGGUUUAAAGGGUCCGUAGGCGGACUUAUAAGUCAGUGGUGAAAGCCUGUCGCUUAACGAUAGAACUGCCAUUGAUACUGUAAGUCUUGAGUAUAUUUGAGGUAGCUGGAAUAAGUAGUGUAGCGGUGAAAUGCAUAGAUAUUACUUAGAACACCAAUUGCGAAGGCAGGUUACCAAGAUAUAACUGACGCUGAGGGACGAAAGCAUGGGAAGCGAAC
rnacentral:rRNA from 1 species